rnacentral:rRNA from 1 species
UGAACUGUUGAUUGACUUCGGUCAAUUACUUUUACAAACAUUGUGUAAUGAACGUCAUGUUAUUAUAACAAAAAUAACUUUCAACAACGGAUCUCUUGGCUCUCGCAUCGAUGAAGAACGCAGCGAAAUGCGAUAAGUAAUGUGAAUUGCAGAAUUCAGUGAAUCAUCGAAUCUUUGAACGCAACUUGCGCUCUCUGGUAUUCCGGAGAGCAUGCCUGUUUGAGUAUCAUGAAAUCUCAACCAUUAGGGUUUCUUAAUGGCUUGGAUUUGGGCGCUGCCACUUGCCUGGCUCGCCUUAAAAGAGUUAGCGUAUUAACUUGUCGAUCUGGCGUAAUAAGUUUCGCUGGUGUAGACUUGAGAAGUGCGCUUCUAAUCGUCUUCGGACAAUUCUUGAACUCUGGUCUCAAAUCAGGUAGGACUACCCGCUGAACUUAAGCAUAUCAAUAAGCGGAGGAAAAGAAACUAACUAGGAUUCCCUUAGUAACGGCGAGUGAACCGGGAAAAGCUCAAAUUUGUAAUCUGGCUGUCUUCGAUAGUCCGAGUUGUAAUCUAUAGACGUGUUUUCCGUGCUGGACCGUAUCUAAGUCCCUUGGAACAGGGUAUCAAAGAGGGUGACAAUCCCGUGCUUGAUACGACCACCAGUGCUCUGUGAUACACGCUCUACGAGUCGAGUUGUUUGGGAAUGCAGCUCAA